rnacentral:rRNA from 1 species
GACGAACGCUGGCGGCGUGCUUAACACAUGCAAGUCGAACGGUGAAAGCGGAGCUUGCUCCGCUGGAUCAGUGGCGAACGGGUGAGUAACACGUGGGCAACCUGCCCCCCACUUCGGGAUAACUCCGGGAAACCGGGGCUAAUACCGGAUAUGACCUCCUUGGGCAUCCUUGGAGGUGGAAAGUUUUUCGGUGAGGGAUGGGCCCGCGGCCUAUCAGCUUGUUGGUGAGGUAGUGGCUCACCAAGGCGACGACGGGUAGCCGGCCUGAGAGGGCGACCGGCCACACUGGGACUGAGACACGGCCCAGACUCCUACGGGAGGCAGCAGUGGGGUAUAUUGCGCAAUGGGCGAAAGCCUGACGCAGCAACGCCGCGUGCGGGAUGACGGCCUUCGGGUUGUAAACCGCUUUCAGCAGGGAAGAAGCCGCAAGGUGACGGUACCUGCAGAAGAAGCACCGGCUAACUACGUGCCAGCCGCCGCGGUAA